rnacentral:tRNA from 1 species
GGGGGUAUAGCUCAGCUGGGAGAGCAGCAGACUGAAGACGCGCUUUCUGAAGGUCCCGCGUUCGAUCCGCGGUACCCCCA